AGUUGUUGUAUUACCAACUGUUGCAUUAUAGCUUUAAAUUAACUACCAUAACAUAACCAAACCUAACAAUCUAAAAUUAUACAUUCCAUGUGCGGUGAUGAGGUUCUUUGUUUCUGCUGAUGAGAAAAGAAGAAAGCUGGUGAAUAAUCACACUGAUCUGAUAUACAUACCAAUGAUUCAGUAUUUAAUGAAAAAGACCAAGUGUCGGGAAGUGGCUGAAGGAAGCUUAAAACAAGGAAGAGCGAAUGUAAUACCAGGGACGUAUGGCAACGUGGAUACCUGGAGUAGAGAAGAGUUACAAAUUUUGGGAUUGGCGAUUAGGAGAUUUUGGUAGAUGAGGAAAACACCAGUUUCAUGCAGUGAGAGCUGUUGCUGCAUAGGCAGCAGUCAGUGUGCUGGAGAAUUUUAAUGAAGGAGCACCUAGUCUUGAGUUGCCUCCCACAGAUGAAGUCAGAGCCCAUCUGUGUACUUCUGCUUGCGUGCUGUAUCACACUCAGGAACAAACUAAAGCAUAAUUCCCAGCCAUCAAAAAGACUUUCCAACAUCACCUUCGCUUCUGCGCAAACUAUCACAUCUUCAUGCUUGUGACAAUGAUGAUACCUACUUGGAGAACUGUCUUUAGUUUUGGGAUCUUAAUAGAAAACACUAGGUUCCAUCAUCUGUGAUAAACUUACUGAGAAAGUCCAGAUCAUUUUCUACUACACUGACAUGUUCACUACAGAUCAUCAUAUUAUUCUUGUUUCAGUAUUACAAGCAGGGCUGAACCCACUGUCCAGAACUGUGUGAAGCAACCAUGUUUUCACAUUGUAAGAAAAUAUUUCUUGUAGGCUGCAAGAUAUUUUUAUCAUCUUUCUUAAAAUUCUUUCCAGUUUAGUCAUUUAUAUUGGCAAUCUCAGAGAUGCCAAAUUCAUAGAUUUUUAUGGGGCUCUUUUAUACCUGCUGAAAUUUCUUAUAACCGUGGAGGCUGUAUUUAAUUUUUAUCACUUACUUUGUUUCAAAGGCUGUAUUUUGGCCAUUUAUGUGCUAAAUAUUUUAGAUUUAUAUUAUAUAUCAUUAUCAAUAUUCGUAAGGGGUCAUACACAAUUUUCAGAAUACACACAGAUGCAUAAUAAAACUUUUGUUUCUCCAAUUUUGGUUGGUUGCUUUGUCCUCAAACAUUCAAGCUAUUCAUGUUUAGUUGAAUAUCAAACAAUUCUUUUAAAUUUUAACAUUUAACAAUAGCGAUAUAAUUGAUCUUGUGUUAAUGUAUAUGCUUUCUUAUGUAUGGAUCGAAAGUUACCUGAGGAUUGUGUAAUUUGGAGGCCUUGUUGUAGGUAUGCCCAAUCAAAUGAUUCUAAAGUAGGAACAGAAAAGUGGUUUUAUUGAAGUGUCAUGUAUGAAUCUUGUUUCCUGUUUAUUGCAUCUGACAAAUAAUACAAAUAAAAAGUAUUAAAAUUGGGAAACAUGCUAUAAUAUCAUUCUCAUUAAUUUAAAUGUAUUAUUUUUCUCCAUUAUUUUUAUUACAAUGUUACAAAAUCUACAUAUAAUACAUUAAUUACAGUAAGACAACAACGUUGAAGAUGUGUAGGAUAAUGUUUAAGAACUGUUUUAUGUAAACAGCACAUUGUUCUUACACAGAUAUUGGAGUAUUAUACAUAUGGCCUUCUAAGUAAGUAUUCACAUUGGUAGUACAGUGUCCUUAAAAGUAAUGCUUUAGUACACUUUAUAAAAUGUGUUCCUAUGGAGCAGAACCACAGUUGGUUACCAAUUAGAAGAUGUGCAUUUCCAGUUGGACAUUGCAGCUUUCUGCAAGCCUGAUAAACACUUGAAAUAUUAUUAGUAAUUUUUCAAUAACACCAACUUAACCACAUGAAAUAAGUCAGUCACUUGGGAUGAUAGCUGAAUGUUAUCUGAGGCCAGUGUUCUGUAUGCUAGUGUCAGUGAUUGGAUUCAAGCUCUCUCAGUUUGGCUGCAAGUUGUUCAUAUGUAAAUCUAAAUUAAAGAAUACAACAGAAGCUAAAAAGCAUAAAUUCCUAUUAAUGCUGAUUAAUUAUAUUAGUUCUGCACUAAAAUGCUGUUACAGAAUUAAACUAGACUGCAAAAGAAACCAACAUCAGAUUAUAAGCAGAAGUUACUUUCUAAAAAGUGACUAAUUUUUUUAAUUUGUUCUCAUUCACUGUUUUGUGAGACAGUAAUCAUAUUAUGAAACCUUCAGCAUUUAGGCAGAAAAAAAACAUAUUUCCAUUUAUCUACCCUUUUUUUAGUUUAUCAUCAGAAACUGUCAGCAGUAUUACUCAUUAUAAUUAUAGAUGAAACACCAACAUAAAUUGAACAGGACAAAGAGAACACAAAUUUACCACACUGUUAUGAUGACAGCUGUAAAGUUUGAGCCAUGCCUAAUCAUAAACAGUAAGGAAGAAACAUAAUGUAACAUGGAACAUUAUCUUGUAACUAAGCUUUCACCUCCACCCUAAAAGUGUCUCUACUUGAAAUCUGUAAUACCUUAUAUGAAGACAUUGUGUUUAAGAUACAAUUAACAUGUCAAUAUUCACAAUAAAGACAAACAUUCUGAAACAGGCACAAGUGUUUUCCUCCAAACCAGUUCUUUGUUUGACAUCAUCAGCCUUUAGUCGAUGUCUUCAAUAUAUGCCAUGAUAUAUACUGGAUGUUUGCUGCACUUAAUGUCACACAGCAUGAUAAAGUCUAAUUAUACUUCUCUAGUUACUAAAAUACAGCCCUUUAAACUAGAUUCUGAAAGGAGCAGAUUAAACAAAUUGUGACUUGCAUGUAAUUUGGUGCAAAGAUGAAGACACUAAAGGUCACCAUGGUGCCAUCCUUAAAAUUCCAACAUGGCAUUUGUACCUUAUUUCCACAUUGGAGCAGUAUUAAUGAAAUUUAGUGGAGAAUUUUGUAAGAUUGUAAUAUAAUAGAUAUUGGAAAAUAAGCACUUUUUAUUAUAAUUCUUUCUAUCAAAUAUAAGGUAUAAACAUAUGAUGGCUGCAUAAAGUAUUAAUUUUAUGAUAAAGUGGUAACAUGAAAUUUCAUAUGCUAGGGGAUGAUGAAAGUGCUUAUAAAUUAUGGUAGUUGAAACUUAUUUUACCUAAGAGGCUGAAGCCAGCUUUUACUAGAUCAGUUUUGUUCAUCCUGGAUUCACCUUUUAUUAUAAUGUAAUUUUUUGGACACAUUAUAUUGAUCUAUAUAUAAGAUAAACAAAACAAUCAAGCUAGGAAAAUUUUCAGCCUGGUUUAUAGUUAGAUAGCAUAUGGGACAUUAUAUUGGAAAUGUAUCAUUAUAGUGCUCUGUUUGCUGGUUUUGUGUUUAUAUGUGUUCAUGCAUGUGUGCUUACAUCUCCAUAAUUAUUUUGAAAGGUGCUGAUUUUAUAGUUUUAAAUCUCCGUCUCAGCAAUUCCAACAUGUCAGUCAUGCAGAAUAUCAAGAUAGGGGCUACAGCCGCACCAUUAAAUGAAUAUAAGUAUGAUAAUAAAUAUCUUAAAACAGGUUGGUGGUGCAAACAUUAAAAGGUCUAGUGUCUAUUAAGUAUAAAAACAGGUUCAUCCAGCUCCAACAUCACUCUUUCGCUAGCAUUCAAGUCACUUCCAGAUACCACAUUCUGCAAUGCUGACAAGGGGCAUCAGCAAUACAGUUCUGUUUGCUGUCCCUGUAUAUCAUAUUGUUUCUUUACCCCUCAAAGUAUGGAGACCAGACUGGUUUCCCUACUUUUCACUCUAUGUGAAACAGCUAAAAAUACCCAUUUGUGUAAUACUUUGGAGAUCACUCACCCAUUUAAGAAUUAUUUUUUCCUGGACUUUUAUGUCACAAAUAACGUAUAAUUACUACCAACUGUUAAAACAACAUUUUUGUCAUUGCUCAAAUGCCAUACUAAUAGAAAUGAUACAACUAAAUUCCCUUUUAUGGUUGCAUCGUACAUUGCUUCUUCUUAAACACUGAAAUCCACAAACAGGAAACAAAAUGAGUGUCAUGCUCAUUAGUUUCUUCUUGUUCCAACAGCAAUGUGAAUCCUUACUAUAAAAUUACUGCUUGUAGUUUGUGUCUCGAUGUGCAAGUCUUUGUAAUGUAUUUACAUUAGCAGUUAACAUAUGUCAUAUACAACAAAAUGCAUAUGUGUUAUAUAUGACCAUUUAGAAUACCGCUUGCACCUCCAAUUGGAUGGUGAAUAAAAUAAUUGAAUUUAUAAAUAUUUAUGGUAUAUAUAGUUAUAGUUUGUGAAAUAAGUUGAAUAAAAAAUCUCUUCAACAGGUGAUAGUUACAGUACAAAUAUAGUUAGUAUUCUGUUAAGUAAAUAUAUCUUAAAAUUAACUGUCAACUGUAGCACAAUGUACAGUAUUUCAAUUAUAAAACAUUUUGAUACGACCAGAUUCUCAUAGAAAACUGAUGUCUAAAAUAUAUAAGGCUCUUUGAUACAGUGAUGAAUAUUUCUUCUCUUGAGAUAAUAAUUGUGACUUGUAAGUCACUUGGACUUACCACUGAUCAUAAAUAUGUUUAAAGAAUGCUACCAGCAAUUCUUAAAAAGUUAUUAUAUGACUGAAGGUUAUUUAAGACAGUGCAGAUAAAUAAAAGCCAAAGUUUGUGCCAGCUACUAUCUUCUUUUAAUGUUUUGUAGAUUUAAAGUUUUAUUUAAAGAAAAUGAAAACAAAGCAUCAAGUAGGAAAAAGGGAAGAAAAAAGGAAAUGUGGUACUAUGUAAUCUUAAACCAGGCAUAAACAUGUUAAUUAUAAAACAAAAGAAAAUAGAACCUUAAGGAAUGAAGCCCUCAAAAAGAGGAAAAUUGGAUGGUAUCUCCUUUCACUUCAAUCAUUCAAUAAGUAUAUAUAUUGUGAGGACUGAAACACUGGAGACUCUUACCUCUGUUAGUGGAAAAGCUGUAUUAUAUAUGCACAUGAGUCCUUUCUGACCUCAUAUUAUUCACCAACCACAAUUUUCUUACAUUUAAAUAUAAUGUUUACUUCAUAAUUUACUGUUAAUUCACAAUAUGAUAUUUUAUUGAAAUGGGUCCAUUUCUUUUUAGGCUGAGGUUACUGUUUUGUUAUGGAUUAGUCAGGUACUUAAACCCAUCCAUAAAAAAUGAAUAAACCAAAUAAA